UACAGAGGUCUCAACCGUUGUUCUGAUUUAUUGGGCGUAAAGGGUGCGUAGGCGGUCGGGUAAGUCGGAUGUGAAAUCCCAGGGCUCAACCCUGGAACUGCAUUCGAUACUGCCUGGCUAGGGUACUGGAGAGGAGACUGGAAUUUACGGUGUAGCAGUGAAAUGCGUAGAUAUCGUAAGGAAGACCAGUGGCGAAGGCGAGUCUCUGGACAGUUACCGACGCUGAGGCACGAAGGUCAGGGGAGCAAACGGG
rnacentral:rRNA from 1 species